rnacentral:rRNA from 1 species
AUAGGGUCAAGUGAAUAAGUGCAUCAGGCGGAUGCCUUGGCGAUGAUAGGCGACGAAGGACGUGUAAGCCUGCGAAAAGCGCGGGGGAGCUGGCAAUAAAGCUAUGAUUCCGCGAUGUCCGAAUGGGGAAACCCACUGCAUUCUGUGCAGUAUCCUAAGUUGAAUACAUAGGCUUAGAGAAGCGAACCCGGAGAACUGAACCAUCUAAGUACCCGGAGGAAAAGAAAUCAACCGAGAUUCCGCAAGUAGUGGCGAGCGAACGCGGAGGAGUCCUCCGGCGGAGAUAACUGUACGUAAUAACUGUCGAGAUAGAAGAACAAGCUGGGAAGCUUGACCAUAGCGGGUGACAGUCCCGUAUUCGAAAUCUCAACAGCGGUACUAAGCGUACGAAAAGUAGGGCGGGACACGUGAAAUCCUGUCUGAAUAUGGGGGGACCAUCCUCCAAGGCUAAAUACUCAUCAUCGACCGAUAGUGAACCAGUACCGUGAGGGAAAGGCGAAAAGAACCCCGGGAGGGGAGUGAAACAGAACCUGAAACCUGAUGCAUACAAACAGUGGGAGCGCCCUAGUGGUGUGACUGCGUACCUUUUGUAUAAUGGGUCAACGACUUACAUUCAGUAGCGAGCUUAACCGGAUAGGGGAGGCGUAGGGAAACCGAGUCUUAAUAGGGCGAUGAGUUGCUGGGUGUAGACCCGAAACCGAGUGAUCUAUCCAUGGCCAGGUUGAAGGUGCCGUAACAGGUACUGGAGGACCGAACCCACGCAUGUUGCAAAAUGCGGGGAUGAGCUGUGGGUAGGGGUGAAAGGCUAAACAAACUCGGAGAUAGCUGGUUCUCCCCGAAAACUAUUUAGGUAGUGCCUCGAGCAAGACACUGAUGGGGGUAAAGCACUGUUAUGGCUAGGGGGUUAUUGCAACUUACCAACCCAUGGCAAACUCAGAAUACCAUCAAGUGGUUCCUCGGGAGACAGACAGCGGGUGCUAACGUCCGUUGUCAAGAGGGAAACAACCCAGACCGCCGGCUAAGGUCCCAAAUGAUAGAUUAAGUGGUAAACGAAGUGGGAAGGCACAGACAGCCAGGAUGUUGGCUUAGAAGCAGCCAUCAUUUAAAGAAAGCGUAAUAGCUCACUGGUCGAGUCGUCCUGCGCGGAAGAUGUAACGGGGCUCAAAUCUAUAACCGAAGCUGCGGAUGCCGGUUUACCGGCAUGGUAGGGGAGCGUUCUGUAGGCUGAUGAAGGUGCAUUGUAAAGUGUGCUGGAGGUAUCAGAAGUGCGAAUGUUGACAUGAGUAGCGAUAAAGCGGGUGAAAAGCCCGCUCGCCGAAAGCCCAAGGUUUCCUACGCAACGUUCAUCGGCGUAGGGUGAGUCGGCCCCUAAGGCGAGGCAGAAAUGCGUAGUCGAUGGGAAACAGGUUAAUAUUCCUGUACUUGAUUCAAAUGCGAUGUGGGGACGGAGAAGGUUAGGUUGGCAAGCUGUUGGAAUAGCUUGUUUAAGCCGGUAGGUGGAAGACUUAGGCAAAUCCGGGUUUUCUUAACACCGAGAAGUGAUGACGAGUGUCUACGGACACGAAGCAACCGAUACCACGCUUCCAGGAAAAGCCACUAAGCUUCAGUUUGAAUCGAACCGUACCGCAAACCGACACAGGUGGGCAGGAUGAGAAUUCUAAGGCGCUUGAGAGAACUCGGGAGAAGGAACUCGGCAAAUUGAUACCGUAACUUCGGGAGAAGGUAUGCCCUCUAAGGUUAAGGACUUGCUCCGUAAGCCCCGGAGGGUCGCAGAGAAUAGGUGGCUGCGACUGUUUAUUAAAAACACAGCACUCUGCCAACACGAAAGUGGACGUAUAGGGUGUGACGCCUGCCCGGUGCCGGAAGGUUAAUUGAAGAUGUGCAAGCAUCGGAUCGAAGCCCCGGUAAACGGCGGCCGUAACUAUAACGGUCCUAAGGUAGCGAAAUUCCUUGUCGGGUAAGUUCCGACCCGCACGAAUGGCGUAACGAUGGCCACACUGUCUCCUCCCGAGACUCAGCGAAGUUGAAGUGGUUGUGAAGAUGCAAUCUACCCGCUGCUAGACGGAAAGACCCCGUGAACCUUUACUGUAGCUUUGCAUUGGACUUUGAAGUCACUUGUGUAGGAUAGGUGGGAGGCUUGGAAGCAGAGACGCCAGUCUCUGUGGAGUCGUCCUUGAAAUACCACCCUGGUGUCUUUGAGGUUCUAACCCAGACCCGUCAUCCGGGUCGGGGACCGUGCAUGGUAGGCAGUUUGACUGGGGCGGUCUCCUCCCAAAGCGUAACGGAGGAGUUCGAAGGUUACCUAGGUCCGGUCGGAAAUCGGACUGAUAGUGCAAUGGCAAAAGGUAGCUUAACUGCGAGACCGACAAGUCGGGCAGGUGCGAAAGCAGGACAUAGUGAUCCGGUGGUUCUGUAUGGAAGGGCCAUCGCUCAACGGAUAAAAGGUACUCCGGGGAUAACAGGCUGAUUCCGCCCAAGAGUUCAUAUCGACGGCGGAGUUUGGCACCUCGAUGUCGGCUCAUCACAUCCUGGGGCUGUAGUCGGUCCCAAGGGUAUGGCUGUUCGCCAUUUAAAGUGGUACGUGAGCUGGGUUUAAAACGUCGUGAGACAGUUUGGUCCCUAUCUGCAGUGGGCGUUGGAAGUUUGACGGGGGCUGCUCCUAGUACGAGAGGACCGGAGUGGACGAACCUCUGGUGUACCGGUUGUAACGCCAGUUGCAUAGCCGGGUAGCUAAGUUCGGAAGAGAUAAGCGCUGAAAGCAUCUAAGCGCGAAACUCGCCUGAAGAUGAGACUUCCCUUGCGGUUUAACCGCACUAAAGGGUCGUUCGAGACCAGGACGUUGAUAGGUGGGGUGUGGAAGCGCGGUAACGCGUGAAGCUAACCCAUACUAAUUGCCCGUGAGGCUUGACUCUAU